GACGAACGCUGGCGGCGUGCUUAACACAUGCAAGUCGAACGGUGAAGGUGGAGCUUGCUCCGCCGGAUCAGUGGCGAACGGGUGAGUAACACGUGGGCAACCUGCCCCUCACUUCGGGAUAACUCCGGGAAACCGGGGCUAAUACCGGAUACGACCUCCUUGGGCAUGCUUGGAGGUGGAAAGUUUUUCGGUGUGGGAUAGGCCCGCGGCCUAUCAGCUUGUGGGUGAGGUAGUGGCUCACCAAGGCGACGACGGGUAGCCGGCCUGAGAGGGCGACCGGCCACACUGGGACUGAGACACGGCCCAGACUCCUACGGGAGGCAGCAGUGGGGAAUAUUGCGCAAUGGGCGAAAGCCUGACGCAGCAACGCCGCGUGCGGGAUGAAGGCCUUCGGGUUGUAAACCGCUUUCAGCAGGGAAGAAGCCGCAAGGUGACGGUACCUGCAGAAGAAGCACCGGCUAACUACGUGCCAGCCGCCGCCGUAA
rnacentral:rRNA from 1 species